rnacentral:rRNA from 1 species
AGAGUUUGAUCCUGGCUCAGGAUGAACGCUGGCGGCGUGCCUAAUACAUGCAAGUCGAGCGAACGGACGAGAAGCUUGCUUCUCUGAUGUUAGCGGCGGACGGGUGAGUAACACGUGGAUAACCUACCUAUAAGACUGGGAUAACUUCGGGAAACCGGAGCUAAUACCGGAUAAUAUUUUGAACCGCAUGGUUCAAAAGUGAAAGACGGUCUUGCUGUCACUUAUAGAUGGAUCCGCGCUGCAUUAGCUAGUUGGUAAGGUAACGGCUUACCAAGGCAACGAUGCAUAGCCGACCUGAGAGGGUGAUCGGCCACACUGGAACUGAGACACGGUCCAGACUCCUACGGGAGGCAGCAGUAGGGAAUCUUCCGCAAUGGGCGAAAGCCUGACGGAGCAACGCCGCGUGAGUGAUGAAGGUCUUCGGAUCGUAAAACUCUGUUAUUAGGGAAGAACAUAUGUGUAAGUAACUGUGCACAUCUUGACGGUACCUAAUCAGAAAGCCACGGCUAACUACGUGCCAGCAGCCGCGGUAAUACGUAGGUGGCAAGCGUUAUCCGGAAUUAUUGGGCGUAAAGCGCGCGUAGGCGGUUUUUUAAGUCUGAUGUGAAAGCCCACGGCUCAACCGUGGAGGGUCAUUGGAAACUGGAAAACUUGAGUGCAGAAGAGGAAAGUGGAAUUCCAUGUGUAGCGGUGAAAUGCGCAGAGAUAUGGAGGAACACCAGUGGCGAAGGCGACUUUCUGGUCUGUAACUGACGCUGAUGUGCGAAAGCGUGGGGAUCAAACAGGAUUAGAUACCCUGGUAGUCCACGCCGUAAACGAUGAGUGCUAAGUGUUGGAGGGUUUCCGCCCUUCAGUGCUGCAGCAAACGCAUUAAGCACUCCGCCUGGGGAGUACGACCGCAAGGUUGAAACUCAAAGGAAUUGACGGGGACCCGCACAAGCGGUGGAGCAUGUGGUUUAAUUCGAAGCAACGCGAAGAACCUUACCAGGUCUUGACAUCCUUUGACCACUCUAGAGAUAGAGCUU